rnacentral:rRNA from 1 species
UAAGGAAUAUUGGUCAAUGGACGAAAGUCUGAACCAGCCAUGCCGCGUGAAGGAUGACUGCCCUCUGGGUUGUAAACUUCUUUUAUGGGGGACGAAAAAAGGGAAUUCUUUUCCGUCUGACGGUACCCUAUGAAUAAGCACCGGCUAACUCCGUGCCAGCAGCCGCGGUAAUACGGAGGGUGCAAGCGUUAUCCGGAUUCACUGGGUUUAAAGGGAGCGCAGGCGGGCUUGUAAGUCAGUGGUGAAAUACCUGAGCUUAACUCGGGAACUGCCAUUGAUACUAUAGGUCUUGAAUGUUGUUGAGGUUUGCGGAAUGGGUCAUGUAGCGGUGAAAUGCAUAGAUAUGACCCGGAACACCUAUUGCGAAGGCAGCAGGCUAAACAAAUAUUGACGCUGAGGCUCGAAAGCGUGGGGAUCAAAC